AUAUUACUAAGCGGAGGAGAAGAAAUUAACAAAGAUUGCCUUAGUAAGGGCGGCUGAACCGGCAAGAGCUCGAAAUUGGAAUCGGAGAUUCAAAGAAUCUUCGAAUUGUAAUCUGACUCGCCGAAAUACGUAAGAACAUUUAAAUACGUCGAAACGUAUGCCAUAGAGGGUGAAAGCCCCGUGUAGUGUUUUUACGAAACAGGGGAGUCUAAAAAGAGUCGGGUUGCUUGGAACUGCAGCCCUAAGUGGGAGAUAUGAAUCUUCCAAAGCUAAAUAUGGAUGGGAGACCGAUAGCGCACAAGUA
rnacentral:rRNA from 1 species